rnacentral:rRNA from 1 species
GACGAACGCUGGCGGCGUGCUUAACACAUGCAAGUCGAACGGAAAGGCCCUGCUUUUGUGGGGUUCUCGAGUGGCGAACGUGUGAGUAACACGUGAGUAACCUGCCCUUUACUUUGGGAUAACUUCAGGAAACUGGGUCUAAUACCGGAUAGUAGCUCCUGCUGCAUUGUGGUUGUUGGAAAGUUUCGGCGGUUGGGGAUGGACUCGCGGCUUAUCAGCUUGUUGGUGGGGUAGUGGCUUACCAAGGGUUUGACAGGUAGCCGGCAUGAGAGGGUGACAGGCGACAAUGGGACUGAGAGAAGGCCCAGAAGGCUACGGGAGGCAGCAGUGGGGAAUAUUGCAAAAUGGGAGGAAGCGUGAUGCAGCAACGCCGCGUGCGGGAUGACGGGCUUCGGGUUGUAAAAAGAUUUAGAAUGUGACGAAGAGUGAGUGACGGUAAUGGGUAAAGAAGCACCGGCUAACUACGUG